rnacentral:rRNA from 1 species
UACGUAGGUGGCAAGCGUUGUCCGGAAUUAUUGGGCGUAAAGCGCGCGCAGGCGGUCCUUUAAGUCUGAUGUGAAAGCCCACGGCUCAACCGUGGAGGGUCAUUGGAAACUGAGGGACUUGAGUGCAGAAGAGGAAAGCGGAAUUCCACGUGUAGCGGUGAAAUGCGUAGAGAUGUGGAGGAACACCAGUGGCGAAGGCGCUUUCUGGUCUGUAACUGACGCUGAGGCGCGAAAGCGUGGGGAGCAAACAGG